AUUGAACGCUGGCGGCAUGCUUUACACAUGCAAGUCGAACGGCAGCGGGGCUUCGGCCUGCCGGCGAGUGGCGAACGGGUGAGUAAUGCAUCGGAACGUGCCCAGUCAUGGGGGAUAACUACGCGAAAGCGUAGCUAAUACCGCAUACGCCCUGAGGGGGAAAGCGGGGGAUCGCAAGACCUCGCGUGAUUGGAGCGGCCGAUGUCGGAUUAGCUAGUUGGUGGGGGUAAAGGCCUACCAAGCGACGAUCCGUAGCGGGUCUGAGAGGAUGAUCCGCCACACUGGGACUGAGACACGGCCCAGACUCCUACGGGAGGCAGCAGUGGGGAAUUUUGGACAAAUGGGGGGCAACCCUGAUCCAGCCAUGCCGCGUGAGUGAAGAAGGCCUUCGGUUGGUU
rnacentral:rRNA from 1 species